rnacentral:rRNA from 1 species
UACGUAGGGAGCAAGCGUUGUCCGGAAUCAUUGGGCGUAAGGCGCGCGUAGGUGGCCUCAUAAGUCCGCUGUGAAAGUCAAAGGCUCAACCUUUGAAAGCCGGUGGAUACUGUGAGGCUAGAGUACGGAAGAGGCGAGUGGAAUUCCUGGUGUAGCGGUGGAAUGCGCAGAUAUCAGGAGGAACACCAAUAGCGAAGGCAGCUCGCUGGGACGUUACUGACACUGAGGCGCGAAAGCGUGGGGAGCGAACAGG